rnacentral:lncRNA from 10 species
GGAGAAGGUUGGGCUUCCUGGAGUACAGAGCGAGGCGCCACUAACUGAGCGCCUACUGCGUGUUGCGCGCUUUGGUGCCCUGGGUUCAUUGACUUAAUGCUCACGAAGACCCGAGAACUCUAAGCCAGAACCUAAGGGGGCCAGAAGCUGGGAUCCAAGUCUACUUGUCCCACCCCCUCCACUGGAACUCCCUGGCCCCCAGCUCUGCACAGCUCCUGCCCUGCAGCCCUCGCCUGGCUGUGCUCCGGGAAGUCCUCGUGGGCACUUCACCCUGCUCUGCAGCCACACUCACACCCUAGAUCCAGGUCACACUAGAGGCAAAGACCCCACUGG